rnacentral:RNase_P_RNA from 1 species
CAAGCGCCGAAAGGCGGCGGGGGAGGAAAGUCCGGGCUCCACGGAGACACGGUGCCGGAUAACGUCCGGCGAGGGCGACCUCAGGGACAGUGCCACAGAAAACAGACCGCCCGGGACGUGUCCCGGGCAAGGGUGAAAAGGUGGGGUAAGAGCCCACCGCGGCCCCGGCAACGGGGACGGCACGGUAAACCCCACCGGGAGCAAGACCGAAUAGGGGCGACGUGGGGGCAACCCCAGGGCCGUCUUCGCCCCAGUCGCCCGGGUGGGUCUCGCUUGGCGGCGGGCAGCGACUGCC